rnacentral:rRNA from 1 species
GAUGAACGCUGGCGGCGUGCUUAACACAUGCAAGUCGAACGUGAGGGUGUAGCAAUAUGCUUGAAAGUGGCGAACGGGUGAGUAACACGUAGAUGACCUGCCCUGGAGUGGGGGAUAACCAUUGGAAACGGUGGCUAAUACCGCAUACAUCCAGAAGAUUGGGAAAUUUUCUGGGGAAAGCUCUGGUGCUCUGGGAGGGGUCAGCGUACGAUUAGCUAGUUGGUGAGGUAAAGGCUCACCAAGGCGACGAUCGGUAGCUGGUCUGAGAGGACGAUCAGCCACACGGGAACUGAGACACGGUCCCGACUCCUACGGGGGGCAGCAGUGAGGAAUAUUGGGCAAUGGGCGAGAGCCUGACCCAGCAACGCCGCGUGGAGGAAGACGGCCUUCGGGUUGUAAACUCCUUUUGACAGGGAAGAGAGAGGACGGUACCUGUCGAAUAAGUCACGGCUAACUACGUGCCAGCAGCCGCCGUAAUAC